rnacentral:lncRNA from 1 species
AGAAGUUUGUUGACAUACAUGCACACAUAUUUUAGUAGUCUGCUCUGGGCUAGAUAUUCUUUAGUUAUAGGAGGGAAACUAGUAAUGUAUUAAGGAUCUUGUCUUCGUGGUACUCAUAUACUAAGGACGCAAUCAACUCAACAAUAUUAUAAUUGUAUUAAACUGUUAGUCCCCAGAGUAGAUAGGGUGAUUAAGGAAGUGAGGCACUGGGGAUGGUGACAGGUUCUCACAAAGGUUCUCCGGGAAGCUGGGAAUAACCACAAAAUCCAGGAACUAUGCAUUUCCAGUAGUACCAAGAAAGGAGGAAUAUGGUUUUAAAAAAAAAGUAUUUGAGGCCGGAGUAUGCUCAAACUGUUUUCCAAACAGGUUGUGGAUGCUGUAUUUGCUACGGAGUGAGCUGACAGAAAUGUGGUCUCAUGCAAAGACAUAAGACAGAAAUGACAGAGUUUGUAAAGUCUCAGAACAUAUCCCUCUGGUAUCGUGUGGGGGUGGGGGAAAGAGGGGGAACCCUAGUUUCAUCCCUGUGAAAGAAAAUGAAGAGGGGAGUAGGAAAUCACAGGUACAGUCUGUAGUACAUAGAUGCAAUAUGGAUUUCAAGUAGAUGGGCCCUUACAUGGUGAUAUGCAGACAACGUUCCUCUGAGCACAGGCUCCCAUUGAUCAAAUGCCAAGGCAAUUGUUCUGUGAUCCCACCAACCCCCAGGCUGCCAAGAGGACCCAGCUUUGUCAGUUCCAACCUUUACUUAUGAUUUAUACUAAGGUGAUUUGGGGACAAGCCUGAAACCAUGAGCCCAGCAGAGAACAGUGGGAUUGUGAAGAUCAGUGUGAGGCCAGGCUUUUAUGAUGUUUCUACCUGAACCUAAAGGCAGGCAGAAGCCAAGUGGGUUGACUGGUAGAUAAGAGCCUGCACUGGCGCAAUUAAGCAAUAAAAGCCAUGAACAGAUUGGCUGUUACUGUUUUCAUUUUGUCCUUUAUGAUUGAUAAUGGAUAUUUUCUCAGCUGAUACUUUAUCAAAAUAUGGGUAACAGCCUGUGUUGUCUGUGACCUCCCAGUAGAGACUGUUCAGGCAAAGGAAAUGGAGAGGCUCUAGUCAGCUGCGAUGUAACUAAGGAUGCAACACCAGAUCAAUUGAUGUCUAGCCAAAAGUAAACAGUGUUAUCUAGAGUUUUCAUCUGUUACUUACUCUUCCAUCCAUAAAUAUUGUCCUACAGUUUUGUUUAUCCAUGUGCUUGUGUCUGCUUCUCACCCCAUCUCCUCACCUCUUUCUGUUUCGCCAACUGGGGCAGCUGAACUUGGCCUCUUGCCCGGCUCAUUGUAAGGAAUUAAGCUGGCCUGUUCUAGUAUUUGGCUGGUAAUUCUUUUCAUUAACCCUAAAUGUUUAAACAUCUUCUGGCUCCAUCCCAAUCUCAGUCUGGCAAUGUUACCUCUUCCCGUGGUACUCAAUCAGGAGUAAUUUUGUACUCCAGGGAGUUUUUGGAAAAGCCUGGAGACCUUUAGCUUGGCAUGCUGUAAGUUGAAAUGAGCAGGGUUGCAUAGCAUUAUACUUCGAGUAGGAGAGCCCUGGUAACAAUGAACCACAUGACCCCAGGUUCCUGAAUUGACAGAGGUAAAGAACUGUGACCUAUAUUCCACAAUUAAUUCAUGUAGAUGUUUGAUCCUACAGAUGAGUUAUAGAUGGUUUCUGAUGGGAAAUAUAUUAGUAUAAUCUAGCAAAAGAAAUGUAAACAUGACAAGGAAGGGGACCAGGAAAAGAAAGAGGAAACAAAUAGAGGAAGAAAGAGGAAAGAGAAGAGGGAAGAGAAGAGAAGAGAAGAGAAG